GCAACCUUCUAUAGGCGCAAUCACAGGAAUCCCCGCGGCCUCGCCCCAGAUCCCUAAACCCCGCCUCGUCUCUCAUGGAAAGUGCGUCCUCUGCGCUCGGCUCUCUCCGCGUCUGCGACAGCCCGCUAUCCAUGGAACGUGGGUCCUCUGCCCUGGAUCGUCACGUCGGCCCUCGAUUCGCGUCCGCGACAGCCUAAUCCCGCACGUGGAUUGGGUACCCCUCUGCCCCGAAUCGUCGCUCCCGCCCGGCAUCAGCGUCCGCGUCCGCGUUGUGGUGUCCGCAGUCUCCAUGGAAGGCGAUCCCGCGUGUGGAUUAGCAUUAGCAGAUGAAGAGGCGGAAUGUUCUUCUUGGGAUAGCGACGAUGAGUACCAGAAAUUCAUCCAAAAUAUGAACCCUCCAAGGGUCACCAUCGACAACACCUCAUGUCCAAGUGCUAUAGUUAUUCAUGUCCUCACUAACCUCAAGCUCAUAGUCACGAAGGCAUACAUAUCCUCAGACGGAGGAUGGUUCAUGGAUGGUAGGAGAGCCAUUGGUUUCUUUCCUUUUCGUCAAAAUGGAAAGUGUCCACCGACGAAGGAGAAGCCAAAGCACAGGAGCAUGGUGCUAUGUUCAUGGAGACCAGUGCAAAAGCUGGGUUCAACGUCAAGCCCCUAUUCCGCAAGAUCGCUGGAUCCCUUCUAGGACUAGACGCACUUUCGUCAGGAAAGCAGGAAGACAUGGUCGACAUAAACCUCAGACCUGCCAGCGGUUCGUCGGCUUCAGGUGCAGCCGCGCAGCUGGAGCAGAAAUCAGGCGGUUGCUCCUGUUGAGACUUCGACAGUUUUGUGUUCAGAGAAGCUACAACAGUACUGCAACAUCGACAUCGACAUUCAAUUUCACAGCAGGAACUUCUCCAUUCCAUUCCAAUCCAACAUCGACAGGCAUUCCAUUUCACACAGCUAAUCGGUGGAGGGAAAAAUAUUCAUCAGGAAACCAGCUAAUCGUGGAAGGAAAAAAUAUUCAUCAAAGUGGAUGUCACUGGAUGUUUUAGUGGAUGUCAACUUUGUCAUCUACUCGUGUUUGAUACCAGGAUGCAGUGCAACCAUUUCCACAUAUGUAUUGGCUAGCAUUGAACUGAGGCUUUGUACAGUAGUAAUAAGAAAUGAGAAAUGUCGAAUUCUUUUAGGGCCCUGAUUUGGCAUCAAUUGAAAAGACAUUGACUGUAUCUAUCUACAGGGUUCCACAUGCACAUUCAGCGAGUCAAUCCUGGGAUCGUGUGGCUUCCAUACUGGGCUGUUCACCUCACCACAUUUGAUGGAUGUUAGAGAGCGAUUUCAGCUAGAUGGGUGCUAUGAAAUUUAUGAUCGCACUGACCUAGCUCCUCCUUUCUGAGGGCAUCGGGGUUAAUAUUUCUGAAGAGAAAAUUUUGAAGUACUCCUGGUGGUGCUAGAACAAGUUGAAGCCUAUUUCAGGUUCCUCGCGCUGCUCGCAUUCAAGAUAUUUUCUGCUGAGCAGGUAGAUGUUGCUAUUCUCGAGGUUGGCCUAGGAGGGAAGUUCGAUGCAACUAAUGUGGUUGUUAGUUCUCGUGAAUGUCCUGUUGUCUCGAAAUACAAAGCUUCUGUUCGCACCUAAUCGCCUAAAAUGGAAAUGUUUGACUCAUUGUUUAAUUCGGGGGGAAGCUGAAGGUGGUCUGAUCCGUUCUAGGAAGAGAAAGGCUGACCAAGUCAUCAUCUCCAGGGACGAUGUUAGCGAAAGUCAAUUUAAUCAGGUGUUGAUCAUUGGGUUGCAACAAAUCAUCGGUGGAGACUGAGUCACCGCGGCCAGAAAACCACGGUCUCAAUUUGAGGAGUUUUUCCAUCUAUGUUUGUUAGAAGGCAUAAUGCCUAUUUAUCUCUUGUAUUCGAACAUUUGGCAAUUAAGAAAUAGAAGAUUACUUCCCC